UACGGAGGGUGCGAGCGUUAAUCGGAAUAACUGGGCGUAAAGGGCACGCAGGCGGACUUUUAAGUGAGGUGUGAAAUCCCCGGGCUUAACCUGGGAAUUGCAUUUCAGACUGGGAGUCUAGAGUACUUUAGGGAGGGGUAGAAUUCCACGUGUAGCGGUGAAAUGCGUAGAGAUGUGGAGGAAUACCGAAGGCGAAGGCAGCCCCUUGGGAAUGUACUGACGCUCAUGUG
rnacentral:rRNA from 1 species